rnacentral:lncRNA from 1 species
GUGAUGCAUGUAAACAAGAUUUCUGUAAAGAUCAUUUUCCAUACGCUGCACAUAAGUGUCCGUUUGCAUUCCAGAAGGAUGUUCACGUCCCAGUAUGCCCACUCUGUAAUACCCCCAUCCCAGUAAAAAAGGGCCAGAUACCAGACGUGGUGGUUGGUGAUCACAUUGACAGAGACUGUGACUCUCACCCUGGGAAGAAGAAAGAGAAGCACAGACACCCUUUGGACCACAGCUGCAGACACGGGAGUCGCCCCACCAUCAAAGCUGGGUGAGAAGAGACUCCGCUGCGAUGGCUCGGAGCACGCAGUAGCAUGCGUGGAAGCAGCUUACACUCUAGUGGGAAGUGGAGCCCCAUUGAGCACCAUCCCACACUGGCUGCUGAUCUUGUUUGUUGAGGGAGAUGGGACUAUAAUAAAAUUGAAUGCUGAAGUUG